rnacentral:sRNA from 1 species
ACUCGCCAACGCAGAUGUGGUGAAUGUGGACUUGUCGGCUCCCCUUCCUUCCAUUCCUUCUUGAGAAACUCAUCACACACUGCCUUUCCCUCCUGUUGUCUCCUGCCUGCCGCCGGGCGAUCCCCACUGCCCUGCACCGCUCCGCCCACUCUCGCACGCUGUGGUGAGAUUGGCUGGCGUCCAGCCUACAACACAGCAGUCCCCUCAGGAUGAGCAGGAAAAGCUCUUGGAUGAAGCCAUACAGGCUGUGAAGGUCCAGUCAUUCCAAAUGAAGAGAUGCCUGUCCUUAAUCAUAAUUAAAAGAUAUGGCCAUUUCUGAUGAACUGCACUACUUGGAGGUCUACCUGACAGAUGAGUUUGCUAAAGGAAGGAAAGUGGCAGAUCUCUAUGAACUUGUACAGUAUGCUGGAAACAUUAUCCCAAGGCUUUACCUUUUGAUCACAGUUGGAGUUGUAUAUGUCAAGUCAUUUCCUCAGUCCAGGAAGGACAUUUUGAAAGAUUUGGUAGAAAUGUGCCGUGGUGUGCAGCAUCCCUUGAGGGGUCUGUUUCUUCGAAAUUACCUUCUUCAGUGUACCAGAAAUAUCUUACCUGAUGAAGGAGAGCCAACAGAUGAAGAAACAACUGGUGACAUCAGUGAUUCCAUGGAUUUUGUACUGCUCAACUUUGCAGAAAUGAACAAGCUCUGGGUGCGAAUGCAGCAUCAGGGACAUAGCCGAGACAGAGAAAAAAGAGAACGAGAAAGACAAGAACUGAGAAUUUUAGUGGGAACAAAUUUGGUGCGCCUCAGUCAGUUGGAAGGUGUAAAUGUGGAACGUUACAAACAGAUCGUUUUGACUGGCAUAUUGGAGCAAGUUGUAAACUGUAGGGAUGCUUUGGCUCAAGAAUAUCUCAUGGAGUGUAUUAUUCAGGUUUUCCCUGAUGAAUUUCACCUCCAGACUUUGAAUCCUUUUCUUCGGGCCUGUGCUGAGUUACACCAGAAUGUAAACGUGAAAAACAUAAUCAUUGCUUUAAUUGAUAGGUAAGACCUUCCAACACUGGAGGAUAGAUGCUCUCACUUGGGAAUAAUGAAUUUUAAACAUUUUUUUGAAUUAUUUGU